rnacentral:rRNA from 1 species
UCGGGAAUUUUGGGCAAUGGGCGAAAGCCUGACCCAGCAACGCCGCGUGAAGGAUGAAGUAUUUCGGUAUGUAAACUUCGAAAGAAUAGGAAGAAUAAAUGACGGUACUAUUUAUAAGGUCCGGCUAACUACGUGCCAGCAGCCGCGGUAAUACGUAGGGACCAAGCGUUGUUCGGAUUUACUGGGCGUAAAGGGCGCGUAGGCGGCAAUUCAAGUCAUCUGUGAAAUCUCCGGGCUUAACUCGGAACGGUCAGAUGAUACUGCUUUGCUAGAGUGCAGAAGGGGCAAUCGGAAUUCUUGGUGUAGCGGUGAGAUGCGUAGAUAUCAAGAGGAACACCUGAGGUGAAGACGGGUUGCUGGGCUGACACUGACGCUGAGGCGCGAAAGCCAGGGGAGCAAACGGGAUUAGAUACCCUAGUAGUCCCUGAGCGGGCUGGCAAGGCGCAU